GGCCUUGCUCUUAUGUCAUCUGACUAAAGGUUUCAUAGACCAAAGAUAACCAUCCAACUUGUUGGAAUACUGAAACAAUUGCUGCCUGCUGUCCACACACCACAUAAAAUAUGUGGAUUUCGUAAAUUAUGCAAAAAAGGUUUGGAAGCUGAUCAAUCAAUACUGGAACUCCCUCUUCUCCAGAAGAGACAUCCUGGCCUCCAUGCAGAGGAAUGUGUGGAUGGACAUAUAUUUAAGGAAGACACUAAACCAGAAACUACUACAUUACACCCUCUUAGAAGACUUCUAAGAUUGUUGUCAUGCCUACCACAGACAUUCAGAUGAUGUGUAUUGUUGAUUGUGAUUUCAUGUUUGGACCUGAUGAAGGAGUUUGAAGUCUCCAGAGCAGCAAAGAGAGUGGGGAGUAGAACUCAUCAUCUUUAGGUCACUCAUCAUCG
rnacentral:lncRNA from 1 species